rnacentral:rRNA from 1 species
AGAGUUUGAUCCUGGCUCAGGAUGAACGCUAGCUACAGGCUUAACACAUGCAAGUCGAGGGGCAGCAUGUCGGUUGCUUGCAACCGAUGAUGGCGACCGGCGCACGGGUGAGUAACGCGUAUCCAACCUGCCCUUGUCCAUCGGAUAACCCGUCGAAAGGCGGCCUAACACGAUAUGCGGUUCACAGCAGGCAUCUAACGUGAACGAAAUGUGAAGGAGAAGGAUGGGGAUGCGUCUGAUUAGCUUGUUGGCGGGGUAACGGCCCACCAAGGCGACGAUCAGUAGGGGUUCUGAGAGGAAGGUCCCCCACAUUGGAACUGAGACACGGUCCAAACUCCUACGGGAGGCAGCAGUGAGGAAUAUUGGUCAAUGGACGAGAGUCUGAACCAGCCAAGUAGCGUGCAGGAAGACGGCCCUAUGGGUUGUAAACUGCUUUUAUAGGGGGAUAAAGUGUGCCACGUGUGGCAUAUUGCAGGUACCCUAUGAAUAAGGACCGGCUAAUUCCGUGCCAGCAGCCGCGGUAAUACGGAAGGUCCGGGCGUUAUCCGGAUUUAUUGGGUUUAAAGGGAGCGUAGGCCGUCUUAUAAGCGUGUUGUGAAAUGUCGGGGCUCAACCUGGGCAUUGCAGCGCGAACUGUGAGACUUGAGUGCGCAGGAAGUAGGCGGAAUUCGUCGUGUAGCGGUGAAAUGCUUAGAUAUGACGAAGAACUCCGAUUGCGAAGGCAGCCUGCUGUAGCGCAACUGACGCUGAAGCUCGAAAGCGUGGGUAUCGAACAGGAUUAGAUACCCUGGUAGUCCACGCGGUAAACGAUGGAUGCUCGCUGUUUGCGUCUGACGUAAGCGGCCAAGCGAAAGCGUUAAGCAUCCCACCUGGGGAGUACGCCGGCAACGGUGAAACUCAAAGGAAUUGACGGGGGCCCGCACAAGCGGAGGAACAUGUGGUUUAAUUCGAUGAUACGCGAGGAACCUUACCCGGGCUUGAACU